rnacentral:rRNA from 1 species
GAUGAACGCUGGCUACGUGCUUAACACAUGCAAGUCGAGCGGCAUCUUAUGCUUAGCUUGUUCAGGGGAUUAGCCACCCGGACACCGGUGAAUAGGUGAUUCCCAACCUGGCCAUCUGCCCCUGAUAGGCUUGUAAACGUUGGAUUCGAUCUGAUGGCCUCAGUUGUCCGCAUGUAUACAUGCUUCAAGCCUUCAGGAGGUGAUGGACGGGGGUGGGUCUGCUUCUGAAUUUGGCGGGGGUGAGGCCCCCGCUCCCCUCGGUGACUAUGGGUUCUCAAACUAAGGUGGUGAUCGGCCAAAUUGAAACUGAGACACGGUUCCAACUUCAACCGACGGUGACGAUUAGGAAUCUUUGGCCGAGAGCCAGAACCUGACGCAUCACCUGCGCGAGAAAGACCAUUGCCUUCGGGUUGCGAACUUCUGUUCGAAUGAAAUAAACCAAUGACGGUGUCUUUGGAGGAAGCCCCGGAUAACUACCUGCCUACUUCCGUGCCAAUACCUACGGGGAAACCGUUAGUCCGAGUUAUUGCGCGUAUUAAUUGCUUUAGUGGUUACCUAAGCGCAAGGUGUAAAUUUAGAGGCUCAACCUCUGGCUGCCUUCUGAACUGGGCUACUUAAUAGCUGUAUGGGAAAGCCGAAGUGCUAGUGUAAUUCUGAGAUGCGUAGAUAAAUGGAUGAAUAUCCUGAACAACUGCGAUUUUCUAGACUGUCACUGACACUGUAGCUGACACUCGUGCUUAACAGUGCGGAUUUCAUACCCU